rnacentral:rRNA from 1 species
AAUAGAUACCCUGGUAGUCCACGCCGUAAACGAUGGAUGCUAGCUAUUGGGGGGAAUCGACCCCUCCGAAGCGAAGCUAACGCGUUAAGCAUCCCGCCUGAGUAGUACGAGCGCAAGCUUAAAACUCAAAGGAAUUGACGGGGACCCGCACAAGCGGUGGAGCGUGUGGUUUAAUUCGAUGGUAAACGAAGAACCUUACCAAGGUUUGACAUCCCGGUAGCCGUUCUCCGAAAGGAGAAUUUCAUUUAGUUGGACCGGUGACAGGUGAUGCAUGGCCGUCGUCAGCUCGUGUCGUGAGAUGUUGGGUUAAGUCCCGCAACGAGCGCAACCCUUAUGAUUUAGUUGGAUUUUUCUAAACAGACUGCCCUGGUAACAGGGAGGAAGGAGGGGAUGAUGUCAGGUCAGUAUUUCUCUUACACCUUGGGCGACACACGCGCUACAAUGGCCGGUACAAUGGGCAGCUAAGCCGCGAGGUGGAGCAAAUCCCAUUAAAGCCGGUCCCAGUUCGGAUUGCAGGCUGAAACCCGCCUGCAUGAAGCCGGAAUCGCUAGUAA